GAUGAAGAACGCAGCGAAAUGUGAUACUUGGUGUGAAUUGCAGAAUCCCGUGAACCAUCGAGUCUUUGAACGCAAGUUGCGCCCGAAGCCAUUAGGCCGAGGGCACGCCUGCCUGGGCGUCACACGUCGUUGCCCCCCCAUCUAAUCCUUCGGGAUUGCGGGGGGCGGAUGAUGGCCUCCCGUGCGCCUCGUCGCGCGGUUGGCAUAAAUGCCAAGUCCUCGGCGACGCACGCCACGACAAUCGGUGGUUGCGAAACCUCGGUUGCCCGUUGUGUGCGGUCGUCGCGCAUCGAGGGCUCGAAAAAAUUGCCGGGCUCCGGCUCGACUUUCAACGCGACCCCAGGUCAGGCGGGGUUACCCGCUGAAUUUAAGCAUAUCAAUAAGCGGAGGA
rnacentral:misc_RNA from 1 species